GCCACAUGAAGUAUGAAGAGAGAGGACGGGGUCUGGAGGCACAAAGAGAGAACACUCACCAUAGACAGGCAAGAAGGGGAUAGGCUGGGGACCUACAAAGUGAGGAAUGAAUCAGAAACUCAAUCGGAAUUACUAGGAAGUUCUAGCCAAGAGAAGAAAGACACAACCAAGAGGAGGGAAAUUCCCAAAAUGUUCUUGGAACAGAAAUGGGUCCCAGGUCACAUGCUAUAAAUCAGUCAACCUCAGAAGGGAAGACAGACUGCUUCGCAAGUCAGCUGACUACAGCUGGAAAUGGAAAGGUGUGGCUGACAAGAAAAUCCACGAUGGGUGAUUUGGAAAGUGGCCAUCUUUCAUCAAUCUCUCUCCCUUUUGGUAAGAAGUCUGUCCUCCGGCGGGGAAAUUUCUAAAGAUCUUCACUCUCGCAGUGGGAAAGAGCUGUUGGUUUCAGAAAAGCACUGUGGGGAAGGGUACGCGAAGUGAUACUAACACUGGAAGGAAACUACUUUUUGAAAAUAAUAAUUUAAACUACUUUGAAAUAUGUUCCACACAUUUUUUAUUCAUUGUAAAACUUAACCCUUACAACCAUUCCCCAGCUGGGCAUUUCAGAUGUGGACGUUGAGGCUGAGUUAAAUGUCCCGCUCAGGACCACACAGUUGGUAAGCAGCUAUCACAGGGCAAACUAAUGCCUUUCCCACUCCACCACUGUGAUUCUCUGGAAGAGUUUUGUUAUUUUUAAAUUUUGAAAGUGACUAGGUACUUUUUUUCUGCAGUAAUCAUGGAACAUAAUGUUAGAGAUACAGAUAUGGCUUAGUCAUUUACAAAAACAACAGGACGUUUGUACUGAAACCGCGGUGGUAUUUGCUGAAAAAUGCUUAAGAACUGCAACUUUGCAUAUUGCUGUCAUCUGCUUUUUUAAAUUUGGAAAAACAAAAUGAUGGAAUUGUCUCCCCAAGAGCAGCAAAGACCUUUCCUGAAAAGGUUUGGGUUGUUCUUGAACUCCCUGAGAGCAUCAAAUCACCCACAAAUCUUGUUAUAAAUACACAUGCCUGGUGUUUCCAUUUUCUGGGAUAAUAGACCCUUUGACAGGGCCCAGACUCCUGAGAUGAUACUGCUGCUUAGAGCAGGGAAAGUCAAACCUGGAUUAUCACAAUCACUGGGAGAGAAUUUUUAAAAUUCACUUCCCUGGGGCUAACUUAUUAGAAACUCUGGAGUCAGUCUGGAGAACGUCUACAUUUAAAGUUACCCUGGAGCCAGGUGUGGUGGGUGGCACAUACCUGAAAUCCUAGCAGCACAGGGGAAGCUGAGGCAGGAGAAUUUUGAGUUCACCCUGGGCUACAGAGCAAGACCCUGUCUCAAAAACAGAAAUAAAAAAACCAAAAGAAACAAAAACAAAAAAGCUACCCUGGUAAUUUUGGUCAAUGGUUGCUACAGGACCCUGGUCUGAAAUGAACUCUGGGUGAGUUGUAGGCUGCAAAGCCAUCUGCAUCAUUUAGGGAGAUGGCAUUUUUAUGUUUUUGAUUUUGGGGGGGGUUGGUACCAGGGAUCGAACUUGGGAACUUGCGCUUGCAAGGCAGGUGCUGGGACCACUGACCUAAAUCCCCAGCCCCAUAGCUGGCAUUUUUAGAUGGAGCUUUAUUAUAAUCAGAUUCAACUAAGCUCUACUGUGAAGAAUGUGAGCUGUAAGAAGAGUAAGUACAUGUGUGUCCUAUUUAUUUCACUUAAGAGGGCCUUGAUAUGCAUCCAUUUAGCUAUAAAUGACUCUAGUUUCUCAUUCUUUAUGGCUGAGUAGUACUCCAUUUUAUUAAAAAAACCCACAUCUUUAUCCAGUUUCCAGUUGAUGGGCACUUGGGCUGCUUCCAAGCUUUAGCUAUUACAAACUGUGCUGCUAUGAACAUGGGCACACAUAUAUCGCCGUGGUAGGAUUCUUUUAAUUCUUUGGGGAAGAUCCCCAGCAGGGGGAUAGCUGGGUCAAAUGGGACUUCUAGCCCUAGUUCUUUGAGGUAUCUCCAUAUGGAUUUCCACAGUGGUUGCACCAGUCUGCACUCCCACCAACAAUGGAGAAGGGUUCCUUUCUCUCCACACCCCCGCCAGCAUGUUAUUGGUUCUUGAUAGCAGCCAUUCUUUCUGGAGUGAGGUGGAAUCUGUGUUGUUUUCAUCUGCAUCUCUCGAAUGACAAGUGAUGUUGAACAUUUUUUCAUAUAUUUGUUUGCUGCUUUUACUUUGUCUGAGAAAUGUGUUCAUGUGUAAAUACCGAAUAGUUUCUCUAGUGUGAGAAACUGAUAGUGUAAACAAGGGUUAAAAUGAUUAAAAUGAAUAAUUGAUAAUUUGAAAUAGGAAAAAACGUCCAAAGACAAAGGAGUGAAGGGAGGGGAAGGGGAAAGGAAAAGAGGGAAAGGAAAAACUAUGAGAAAAGAAAAAACAAAAUGGAAAUGAAAUCUAUGUAAAUAGGGAAGUGCGGAGGGGGUGAAAGGUGCACAGGUAAUGGGGAAAAAAAUAAGAACCAAG
rnacentral:lncRNA from 1 species